GAUGAACGCUGGCGGCGUGCCUAAUACAUGCCAGUCGAGCGAACGGACGCGAAGCUUGCUUCUCUGAUGUUAGCGGCGGACGGGUGUGUAACACGUGGAUAAUCUACCUAUAAGACUGGGAUAACUUCGGGAAACCGGCGCUAAUACCGUAUAAUCUUUUGCACCGCAUGGUUCAAAAGUGAAAGACGGUCUUUCUGUCACUUAUAGAUGCAUCCGGGCUGCAUUAGCUAGUUGGUAAGGUAACGGCUUACCAAGGCAACGAUGCGUAGCCGACCUGAGAGGGUGAUAGGCCACACUAGAACUGAGACACGGUCCAGACUCCUGAGGGAGGCAGCAGUAGGGAAUCUUACGCAAUGGGCGAAAGCAUGACAGAGCAACGGCGAGUGAGUGAUGAAGGUCUUCGGAUCGUAAAACUGUGUUAUUAGGGAAGAACAGAUGUGUAAGUAACUGUGCACAGAUUGACGGUACCUAAUCAGAAAGCCACGGCUAACUACGGG
rnacentral:rRNA from 1 species